rnacentral:rRNA from 1 species
UAAGGAAUAUUGGUCAAUGGACGCAAGUCUGAACCAGCCAUGCCGCGUGAAGGAUGAAGGUCCUCUGGAUUGUAAACUUCUUUUAUCUGGGACGAAAACGGGAUUUUUAUCUCAAUUGACGGUACCAGAGGAAUAAGCACCGGCUAACUCCGUGCCAGCAGCCGCGGUAAUACGGAGGGUGCAAGCGUUAUCCGGAUUCACUGGGUUUAAAGGGUGCGUAGGUGGGCAGAUAAGUCAGUGGUGAAAUCUUCCGGCUUAACCGGGAAACUGCCGUUGAUACUAUUUGUCUUGAAUAUUGCGGAGGUAAGCGGAAUAUGUCAUGUAGCGGUGAAAUGCUUAGAUAUGACAUAGAGCACCAAUUGCGAAGGCAGCUUACUACACAAUCAUUGACACGGAGGCACGAAAGCGUGGGUAGCGAACA